rnacentral:rRNA from 1 species
CCUACGGGAGGCAGCAGUGGGGAAUAUUGGGCAAUGGGCGCAAGCCUGACCCAGCAACGCCGCGUGAAGGAAGAAGGCUUUCGGGUUGUAAACUUCCUUUGACAGGGGAGAGCAGAAGACGGUACCUAUUGAAUAAGCUACGGCUAACUACGUGCGAGCAGCCGCGGUAAUACGUAGGUGGCCAGCGUUGUCCGGAUUUACUGGGUUUAAAGGGCGUGUAGCCGGGCUGGCAAGUCAGAUGUGAAAUCUGGGGGCUCAACCCCCGAACUGCAGUUGAAACUGUUGGUCUUGAGUAUCGGAGAGGUAGGCGGAAUUCCUGGUGUAGCGGUGAAAUGCGUAGAUAGUAGGAGGAACACCAGUGGCGAAGGCGGCCUGCUGGACUAUAACUGACGGUGAGGCGCGAAAGUGUGGGGAGCAAACAGGAUUAGAUACCCGUGUAGUC